UGUUUCCUUACUGCUACAAUUUCUGAUCUAUCCAAUAGCUGCAGCAUUUUCUUUUCACUUCCUUGGUUCUUGUGGCUGCAAAUUUGUUAUUUACUAGAGAGUUUGGAAAUAUACAUGCUUCUCGAUUCGCAGUUUGUGUUUUUAUCUUGCCAAAGUUUAUGUCAAUCUAAUGGAAAAUUAAAGAAUUUGCUUACAUAGUUCAACUAAAUCCAUUCACAGUUUAUGGAUGUUCAGAAAUUAGUCGAUUAGGUAAACUAUAUUCCUGUUAUAUCUGGGCUACAAAUUAUUUUUCCUGACAGAUGUUGCAAAACAACAUUCAAGAAGGGUUGUGACCUCUGCUGAUAGCGAUGUUAUGCUCAUAUUCACUUGGUAAUUCCACCCUUAGCAACGAAAAGAAAAUAGCUAUCACAUUCUAUAAUCGAAUUGGAAACUUUUAAGAAACUUCUUGUGAAAGCCUGGGAAGUAACAAGGAAUCAUCCUAAAUAAGAGAUCAUAUACAAACCUUGAAAGUGAAUGGUCUUUUCCAAGGAAACAUGUGUAGAUAGGGAGAUUGAACCACUUUUGACCAAUCGGCUACGUAGAGAUUUUCUAGAAAGCCAGAUGGUUAUGGUGUUUGUCAUAAAAUGUGAAUAUUUGACUCUUGACGCAUGUCAAGUGUCUUGUG